CUAAAUUAUUUAAGGAACCCAGUUUUAAAUCAAACAAGUUCAUCAUUCACAACGCUCUCUCACGCUGCUGCCUUGCUGGCAAAGUCAAUGAAUCCCAGAAAAACAAGAUCAUAGAGGAGAUGGAGAAGAGCUCCGCCAGUCACUUCCUGAUUCUCCUGCGUGAUGCCAACUGUCAGUUCCGUGCCAUCUACACUCUAGACGGCCAGUCGGAGGAGCUGCAUCGACUCUGCGGCGUCGGCCCGCGUGCCAUUUCCUCGUCAGCCGUGGAAGCCAUUUAUAAAUACAGCUCCGACAGGAAACAGUUCAAUACGCUUCCAUCUCGUACCCUGAGCAUGAGUGUCGACGCUUUCACUAUCCCCGCCCAUCUCUGGCACACUAAGAAACAUGGCACGCCCAAAAAAGUAGCAACACCCAAAUAGACUCCACCUACUCAAAAUAAACAACUCCUGCAGAGAUAAGCUGCUCCCACUUAAAUAAGCCACACCUACUGGAAUAAACCCCUCCCAUUUACAAAACUAGCAACACCCAAAUAGACUCCACCUACUCAAAAUAAACAACUCCUGCAGAGAUAAGCUGCUCCCACUUAAAUAAGCCACACCUACUGGAAUAAACCCCUCCCAUUUACAAAAGUAGCCACACCCAAAUAGACUCCACCUACUCAAAAUAAACCACUCCUGCUGAGAUGAACUGCUCCCCCUUAAAUAAGCCACACCUACUGGAAUAAACCCCUCCCAUUUACAAAAGUAGCCACACCCAAGUAGACUCCACCUACUCAAAAUAAACCACUCCUGCUGAGAUAAGCUGCUCCUAUUGGAAUAAACCCAUUUACAAAAGUAGCCACAUCCAAAUAGACUCCGCCCACUCAAACUAAUAGGCGUGUUCGACUCGAAGCGGCGCUGCACAGACCGAUCAAAGUAUCGCGAGAGCGAUUCAAAAGCAUAAGAAGCUGUCUGCUCUCUUAUCACUCUUGCGGC